rnacentral:rRNA from 1 species
UACGUAGGGUGCGAGCGUUAAUCGGAAUUACUGGGCGUAAAGCGUGCGCAGGCGGUGAUGUAAGACCGAUGUGAAAUCCCCGGGCUUAACCUGGGAACUGCAUUGGUGACUGCAUUGCUGGAGUAUGGCAGAGGGGGGUGGAAUUCCACGUGUAGCAGUGAAAUGCGUAGAGAUGUGGAGGAACACCGAUGGCGAAGGCAGCCCCCUGGGCCAAUACUGACGCUCGAUGCACGAA